rnacentral:rRNA from 1 species
GAUGAACGCUGGCGGCGUGCCUAAUACAUGCAAGUCGAGCGAACGGACGAGAAGCUUGCUUCUCUGAUGUUAGCGGCUGACGGGUGAGUAACACGUGGAUAACUUACCUAUAAGACUGGGAUAACUUCGGGAAACCGUAGCUAAUACCGGAUAAUAUUUUGAACCGCAUGGUUCAAAAGUGAAAGACGGUCUUGCUGUCACUUAUAGAUGGAUCCGCGCUGCAUUAGCUAGUUGGUAAGGUAACGGCUUACCAAGGCAACGAUGCAUAGCCGACCUGAGAGGGUGAUCGGCCACACUGGAACUGAGACACGGUCCAGACUCCUACGGGAGGCAGCAGUAGGGAAUCUUGCGCAAUGGGCGAAAGCCUGACGGAGCAACGCCGCGUGAGUGAUGAAGGUCUUCGGAUCGUAAAACUCUGUUAUUAGGGAAGAACAUAUGUGUAAGUAAAUGUGCACAUCUUGACGGUACCUAAUCAGAAAGCCACGGCUAACUACGUG